rnacentral:rRNA from 1 species
GCGAACGCUGGCGGCAGGCUUAACACAUGCAAGUCGAGCGCCCCGCAAGGGGAGCGGCAGACGGGAGAGUAACACGUGGGAACGUGCCCUUUGGUCUGGAAUAACUCAGGGAAACUUGAGCUAAUGCCGGAUACGCCCUUCGGGGGAAAGAUUUAUCGCCAUUGGAGCGGCCCGCGUCUGAUUAGCUAGUUGGUGAGGUAACGGCUCACCAAGGCGACGAUCAGUAGCUGGUCUGAGAGGAUGACCAGCCUCAUUGGGACUGAGACACGGCCCAAACUCCUACGGGAGGCAGCAGUGGGGAAUAUUGGACAAUGGGCGAAAGCCUGAUCCAGCCAUGCCGCGUGAGUGAUGAAGGCCUUAGGGUUGUAAAGCUCUUUUAGCAGGGAAGAUAAUGACGGUACCUGCAGAAAAAGCCCCGGCUAACUUCGU